rnacentral:rRNA from 1 species
UACGAAGGGUGCAAGCGUUAAUCGGAAUUACUGGGCGUAAAGCGUGCGUAGGCGGUUGUUUAAGUCUGCUGUGAAAUCCCCGGGCUCAACCUGGGAAUGGCAGUGGAUACUGGGAGGCUAGAGUGUGUCAGAGGAUGGUGGAAUUCCCGGUGUAGCGGUGAAAUGCGUAGAGAUCGGGAGGAACAUCAGUGGCGAAGGCGGCCAUCUGGGACAACACUGACGCUGAGGCACGAAAGCGUGGGGAGCAAACAGG